rnacentral:rRNA from 1 species
UGCAAGUCGAGCGGAACGAGUUAACUGACCCUUCGGGUGACGUUAACGGCGUCGAGCGGCGGACGGGUGAGUAAUGCCUGGGAAAUUGCCCUGAUGUGGGGGAUAACCAUUGGAAACGAUGGCUAAUACCGCAUAAUGCCUUCGGGCCAAAGAGGGGGACCUUCGGGCCUCUCGCGUCAGGAUAUGCCCAGGUGGGAUUAGCUAGUUGGUAAGGUAAUGGCUUACCAAGGCGACGAUCCCUAGCUGGUCUGAGAGGAUGAUCAGCCACACUGGAACUGAGACACGGUCCAGACUCCUACGGGAGGCAGCAGUGGGGAAUAUUGCACAAUGGGCGCAAGCCUGAUGCAGCCAUGCCGCGUGUGUGAAGAAGGCCUUCGGGUUGUAAAGCACUUUCAGUCGUGAGGAAGGUAGUGUAGUUAAUAGCUGCAUUGCUUGACGUUAGCGACAGAAGAAGCACCGGCUAACUCCGUGCCAGCAGCCGCGGUAAUACGGAGGGUGCGAGCGUUAAUCGGAAUUACUGGGCGUAAAGCGCAUGCAGGUGGUUCGUUAAGUCAGAUGUGAAAGCCCGGGGCUCAACCUCGGAACUGCAUUUGAAACUGGCGGACUAGAGUACUGUAGAGGGGGGUAGAAUUUCAGGUGUAGCGGUGAAAUGCGUAGAGAUCUGAAGGAAUACCGGUGGCGAAAGGCGGCCCCCUGGACAGAUACUGACACUCAGAUGCGAAAGCGUGGGGAG